rnacentral:misc_RNA from 1 species
UCAUUUCAACCCUCAAGCCCUGCUUGGUGUUGGGGCCCUGCGUCUGACGCAGGCCCUGAAAGGAAGUGGCGGGCUCGCUACAACUCCGAGCGUAGUAAUUCAUUAUCUCGCUAUGGAAGUUUGGCGUGCUCCUGCCGUUAAAGACCCCAUCUUUAACCAAGGUUGACCUCGGAUCAGGUAGGAAUACCCGCUGAACUUAA